GCAUUUACCUUUUCUUGGUAAGGUGAGUCCUGUGGGCAAUGUAGCCAUUCAUCUAUGUCACUUGACUUAGCU
rnacentral:snoRNA from 1 species